rnacentral:lncRNA from 7 species
CGCUCCCCUCGCGACCGCGCUCCUCUCACGGCCCCCGGUGCGGGCGUUACCUGGCGGGUACGGCGAGAGGCGGCGGCGGGGCGGGGGCCGGGCGGGCUCAGUGCCGGCGGCGGCGCCCGCUGCGCUGCAUGGCUGCGCCCGCCCCGCUGCCACGGGAAGAAUGGGAGCCGGCGCGCGUGCGCCAACCUCGCCUCACAGCGCAGGCGCGGCACCGCCCCACGCCUCUAGAAAGCUCCCGGGCGGGCAGCGCGCAUGCGCGAAGGAGAGUGCGCGUCCAUCCCUCGUACACCUUUACCACAGAGCGCGAGGCGGGGGCCGGGGGGAACGCGCCUCUCGCCGGUCUCUAUGGCUCAGCCUGGCAUCUGGAGUCACACCGGGUUCCUUCCAGCUUUCCCAGCAGAAAUCCAAAUCCUGCAAGCAGUAAAGCAGCUGUGCUGCUGCUGUCCUGGUACAGACCCUGCCCACCCCCCCGGUGCUGCUGCCUUCUGCAGGGAGUGCCCGACAACAGCACCGUGACAGAGGUGACUGCACUUCCCUGCCCAUUUUAAAGAGACAGAGCCACACACAAGCCAGGGGAACUGGCAGCAGUGUCCAACUGCACAGCAGUCUGAGCCUCAGGUCAGUACCUGCUCGCCAAGCCCUCAUCUCAACCAGCACCAGAAAAAUGCAAAGGAAGGAACAGAGCAUUCCCAACUCACUGAAAAACAUUGUUUUUCACCUGUGCCUCUGAAGAUACUGCCCAGGCUCCAGUGAACAGAUGGUGCACUGACAUCCAGCUUUGCACAUCUGGAUGGUACUCCACAGCUCCUGCUCCCUACCUGCUUCAUAGGUUGCCUCUCUCAAUUAACAGACAGAAGUGCUUGUGUUCUUGUUUUUUUCCUCAUCUCUUACAAAGCUAUUUUCUGCUGCACAUCCCAUUUCCACCUCUGCAUUAUUCAGUACACUGAAGCUUUAAUGUGACUCUGCACGCAAUGGAACUGUUUGCAGUAAAGCCAUCCAAGGGCUGAAGAAAACCAUAAACGAGCAUUUUCCUCUCUGAUUUGAGCCAAGAGCUGUGCAGGAACCUCCUCAUAGCAUAUCCUUUCCCAGCCUAUGAGAUCCACAUAGCUGCUGGCUGCAGGAACUCAGCUGUGUAAGUAAUCCAAGGCUCCCAGGACAGCUAAGUAGCUCUGUCCCUGCAACAUGCUUAAUUAAUGCUGGGUGAGAAGCAAGGAGAGACCUCACCAUCCCCACACAGGAGAAAAUGUCUCACUUCAGCAGUCCUCACUGCUGCAGUGAACCGAUUCCUGGGCUCUGACAGCUGCUGCCCUCGGGCAGGAGGGACAUGCCUGGGUUAGCAAUGUCAGGCAGCAUCGUGGCACAGGAUCCUUUCUCACCACAUUCCCACCUCCAUUCCAAGCAGUUUAGAGUGGUCUCCACACAUCCUCAGCCAACAUGGUGCAGACUGUCAGUGUCUGGAGUUGGAUGUUUCACGGGUUAGGCUGGAAACUCUGUAAUUCAAACAGGAUGUGUUUGAAUGGCUUAUUGGACAAUAAGGGAAUCUGGUGUGAGAGAAGGACCCGUAAGUGCUCCUGGAAUACA